rnacentral:tRNA from 1 species
GAUGUGGUGGCCGAGUGGUUGAGGCGUUUGACUCGAAAUCAAAUGAGCUCUGAUCGCACAGUUUCGAAUCCUGUCCACGACG